rnacentral:lncRNA from 1 species
GGGCGGGGCGUGGGGGGGGCUUGCAAUGGCUCCAACCGGAAGGGCGGUGCUCGAGCUGUGGUGCGUGCCGCUAAGUUGUGCGUUCCAGGGUGCACUCGCCGGCGAGGCUGCACGGCGCCGGUUUCAUUGCUAAAAUCCGACGGACUUGUUGCAGAACUCGUUUUUUUUGUCGGGAAAGGGCUUCCCCGUGUAACUUUACAGCAGUUAUCGUAGAUAAGACUUGCAAAUUACAGAUGUGGACGGUGAGGGAACGGGAAUUUCACUGAAAGCGCCUGAGAACCAGUAAGAGACCUGCAACAGCUUUGUGCUCCACUGGCGAAUGCUUCCUCCCCUAAUACACAUUAUGUGUGCUUGGAGACACAAGGAGUAAGAUACAGCCCCUCAAGGGACUCGUCAUAGGGAGAGGACACAGCUUUGGGAAUAAAGGGGCCACAAAGGAGGAGAGAGGAGUUUGCUGAAACUUCCCAAGCUCCCAUUCCAGCAGUUCCUGAAGGGCUGGACAAUGGAGGAGGCUUGAAACAGUAGCUGGCAAGUGGUAGAAGAGAUGGAGCAGAGAAGCAAGAAGAAGCAGACUCCUCACUCCUUCACCAGGGUGGAUUUGCUGGUUUGAAGCAGACCUGAGUUGGGAGAGGAGAGAGGCGAGAAGUUUUAAUUGGAUGAAAUAUUUCUUUAGACUGGUCUAUACUUUUUUCUUUAUAUCUAAAAUUCACUGGAAGAGCUAUGAAAUCUGUCCAAGAUUUCGUUCAGUUCAGGAAAAACCAAAACCAAAACCAUAACCAGUGAGUUUAUAAAGGAAGUUUAUGGUGGAUUUUUUAAAAUUAUUUUGAUAACUGACAUUGGGGUAUUCUCCAUCUUAUGAGUCUGAAAAUAUUUCUUCGCAGCCAGGUAAUACACAUGUGACUCAGAUGCCACCAAAGAAGUAUGUGUCCAAGACCUCAAGUUGAAAGCUGUGGACUGCGGAGGGACUCUCUGGUGAAGUUGUUGCAAGCAUGAUUAAUUCAUUGGGGCAGCAAUGGCAGCCAAGCCAGUGGUGGUAUCCUGUGUCCAGGAGUGGUAUUGGUGAUUCAGUUUGCAGCCUCUGAGGUACAAGGAUAAGGAAAAUGGUGACCAGAUCAGUUUUGCUGCCUCAGAUUAGACAUAAUUUCAAGCUGUAUAUCUCUAAUCCUCCUAAUAAUUCUAUGACCUACAUGAUAUCCUUUAAAUAAAUGACUUAUCAUUUAAAAUAAUUCCGAAUUGAUUUCUGUGACUUGCAAUGAAAUCAAUAAAAAAAAAAAAAUACCUGGACUAUUACUAGAAAACAGACCACCAGGGAAAUGGGUCAAUCUGGGAUUAAUUUUCUGACCUGGUUUAGGCUGAAGGCAGUGAUAAUUCAGAUGACUCUAAGGGUGGAGCAGCUCUAGACAUGCAGGAGUGGAACAGUUAAUAAUAAAAAAAAAACCUCUGACUUCCUGAAAGGAAAUAAGAAUUAAAGGCAAGGCCUUAGAGACAAUAGGGUUAUUGCCAUGGAAGAAUAUUAAAGUGCAUGAGCUAUUUAAAGUCUGUA